rnacentral:rRNA from 1 species
GACGAACGCUGGCGGCGUGCUUAACACAUGCAAGUCGAACGGAAAGGCCCUGCUUUUGUGGGGUGCUCGAGUGGCGAACGGGUGAGUAACACGUGAGUAACCUGCCCUUGACUUUGGGAUAACUUCAGGAAACUGGGGCUAAUACCGGAUAGGAGCUCCUGCUGCAUGGUGGGGGUUGGAAAGUUUCGGCGGUUGGGGAUGGACUCGCGGCUUAUCAGCUUGUUGGUGGGGUAGUGGCUUACCAAGGCUUUGACGGGUAGCCGGGCUGAGAGGGUGACCGGACACAUUGGGACGGAGAUACGGCACAGCCUCGUACGGGAGGCAGCAGUGGGGAAUAUUGCACAAUGGGCGGAAGCCUGACGCAGCCACGCCGCGUGCGGGAUGACGGCCUUCGGGUUGUAAACCGAUUUCGCCUGUGACGAGGCGUGAGUGACGGUAAUGGGUAAAGAAGCACCGGCUAACUCCGUG